UGGGGAAUAUUGCACAAUGGGCGAAAGCCUGAUGCAGCAACGCCGCGUGAGUGAUGAAGGCCUUCGGGUUGUAAAGCUCUGUCUUUUGGGACGAUAAUGACGGUACCAAAGGAGGAAGCCACGGCUAACUACGUGCCAGCAGCCGCGGUAAUACGUAGGUGGCAAGCGUUGUCCGGAUUUACUGGGCGUAAAGGAUGCGUAGGCGGAUUUUUAAGUGAGAUGUGAAAUACCCGGGCUUAACUUGGGUGCUGCAUUUCAAACUGGGAAUCUAGAGUGCGGGAGAGGAGAAUGGAAUUCCUAGUGUAGCGGUGAAAUGCGUAGAGAUUAGGAAGAACACCAGUGGCGAAGGCGAUUCUCUGGACCGUAACUGACGCUGAGGCAUGAAAGCGUGGGUAGCAAACAGGAUUAGAUACCCUGGUAGUCCACGCCGUAAACGAUGAGUACUAGGUGUAGGAGGUAUCGACCCCUUCUGUGCCGCAGUUAACACAAUCAAGUACUCCGCCUGGGAAGUAC
rnacentral:rRNA from 1 species